CAGUCGCCGCGGUAAUACGAAGGGGGCUAGCGUUGCUCGGAAUUAUUGGGCGUAAAGGGCUCGCAGGCGGUUUCUUAAGUCUGAUGUGAAAGCCCCCGGCUCAACCGGGGAGGGUCAUUGGAAACUGGGAAACUUGAGUGCAGAAGAGGAGAGUGGAAUUCCACGUGUAGCGGUGAAAUGCGUAGAGAUGUGGAGGAACACUAGUGGCGAAGGCGACUCUCUGGUCUGUAACUGACGCUGAGGAGCGAAAGCGUGGGGAGCGAACAGGAUUAGAUACCCCCGUAGUCCCUGUCUCUUAUAA
rnacentral:rRNA from 1 species